rnacentral:snRNA from 1 species
GUGUGUGAGGGAAAUCUGGCUGGGACACAUGUCACCCCACUGAGGAGCAGGGUUGAUUCCUCUAACUUGCUUCCCCCCUUACUGCUUCAUGUGCAUCCCUCCCACAGAUGCACACUUGGGUGAAGAGAAGGACCAACCCAUCCCUCUCAGAUGGAGAAGGAGUCUACCUCCCUCAAGGGGAUACCAGCAGGUGUGCUCCCCUGUGGGAGCCUGCAACUCUCAAGAAAAUGGCAUCCCAGGGACAACCCUCU